rnacentral:tRNA from 1 species
UGCAGCUCAAUAGUAGAGCACCUGCCUAACAAGUAUAAGGUCCUGGGUUCGAAUCCCAGCA